GCUUGAAGCAGUGAUGAUAACUUUUAAUCCCAGCUCAUUAUGAGACCUUCCAUCUAAUGGAAGAUCAAGGAAUGGACACAAAAACAUUAUCUGAGCUGAAU